UUGCUCAUUAAACUCUGUGCUUUUCCUUUUGUAAGUUGCCAGACUGUGUUGUUAGUAUCCAGCAAGCUGCACUGUGUUUGUCUGAGGGACUCCUCCAACUACCCAGCUGUCAAUGGCACCUAGUAGGUGCUCACAGAGUUGUUGAAAGGAACUGAAUGACUUUAAGAAGUCCCCCAAAGAUUAACCUGCAUACAGAGGUUGGGCCCUGGUCUAUAAAGAGUUAAUGGUAACUAGGUCACACUGCUUAAAGACUUAGUGAAUCAUUGUUACCAACAGUUUGGUUUGAAUUAUGUCAUCAAGGUAAGCCUCUGUUCUCCUUGUUUCCAUGUCACUGUUCUCUCUGUUUCCAUGUCACUGAAAGAAGUUAAUUGAAAAAGCAGAGUUCAAAUUUUAAAAUCCAAUGAACCACUGAAAACAUAUAUUUCAGAUGAAAAUCCCCAUCUCCUUUCUGUUGGCUGAAGCCACCAUAAUUGGAACCAAUGGAAUCUGAAUUUAAACAUGUCUGAAUUGUGAUAAUAUAUUCAGAUCUAUGUUUACCACAUACGAAAGUUUAAGCAAUAUGGAUUAUUUUGUAAGGUAAAGAGAGUCUUUAGAAAGCUAUUUAUAUUUUGUAGAUUGGAGGAAAUAAGACCUUGAAAGAAGAUCUAAUCACGUUUUUGUAUCGAUAUUUUAGGAAAAUUUGUAGUAGCAAUAUACUAGCACAUAAACUCCGCCGAUGAACUAAUCUGAGGUUUAAAUCAAAAUAACUUGUAUUGGUCUAUUCUGGUUUCUGAUGAUUCAUUUUUUUUCUGAGCUGUGGAAGAAUAGCAAUAUAAUCUCUUUUAUAUAACUCGUUUAAUUUCUCAUAAGCAGCCUUGAGGUUAAAAGAAAAAAGGAACUUGUGAACAUAAUAUGCAAUUGAAUCAUCUUGGAAUAAGAACAGCAGAAGGUAAUGAAGAUUUAGUAGGGAAUGGAUUUCACACCAUCCUUCCUACUUUCCUUUGCAGUCACAUCAGAGAAUCUGAGAUUUCUGGUUAGAAGAAUCAAUAGGAAUUUACAGUGAACCUUGAAAGAGGGCAUUCUGAUGUGACUAUGGAACUCUGGAGGCAUUUGUGACUCAGUAUUAAAGCAACUCCCUGUCUGUUGCUGGGGGAGGGAUGAGUAGAUGGGGAAAACAACAACAACAACAAAAAACAUGAAUGUUGUGAGGAUCUUGGCUGAUUAGUUUUGGAGAAAUUCUCACGGAUUGAUUUUGUUCAAUCAGUGAUUCCACUCAUUCAUUUAUCUACCUUCAGCAUGCUUUGAGUACCUCUCUGGAUCGUGCUUUCUACAGGGUACAUGAUUUAAGAAAUAAAUAAGAUACAACAAUUAGCCCCCAAGGAUCUCACAUGAACAAAGGGAAACAAACAAGAAAAAUAAUCAUUAAAAUGUACAGUGAGAAUUGUCAUGAUUUGGAUGCUGAAUAAGCAGAAAUUUUACAGGUCUUUGAAAUCUGGGAAGGAAUCCUGGAGGAGGCACUACUUGGGCUGCAUCUUUAUGGAAAGUGGUAGAAAUCUCAUACCAAAAAAUGGGCCUGGGAAAUAGCAUUUUUAUAGCAUUUUCAUAAAUGAAGAGCUUUGUACUCUCAGGUGGGAUAAAGUUUGCAUGUCAGUAGCAGAAGAACAUAAAAUACUGGUAUUUUAAACAAGAGAGAUGUUUAUUCCUGGCUCAAAUAUAGUUCCAAGACUGGUACAGUCCUUGGGGAUCCAGGCUUUUUCUAACUCGUUUCUCUACUGUCUCUGGGUAUGACCCUCAUCACUUAGUCUAAGUUUCCAGUCUUUAUUUAGAAGUAGGAUAAAGGAAAGAAGACAAUAGGGGACAAAGGAUGUGUCCUAACUUUCUCUAAAAGAAGGUGAAGAAUCACUCCAUAUCUAAUUUCCCAAAACCUAGUGGUAUCCAGGUGCAAAGGAGGCCGGGAUUUGUAGUAUAUGUUCCUAAGGCCACGUGUCAAGUGAAAAUUACACUAUGGUGGAAGAAGACAAGAUUGCAUUUUGGAGGAAAACAGUUCUAGAUGGGAAAUAGUAAGAUGUUCAAGAAAUAGUGUUUCUACAGGACUUACACAGGAUGUGGAAAGAGGGGUGGUGCUGACAAUGGUGUAACCUAAAGUUGGAGGCAUAAUCAUGGGCUGCACAUGAAGAAUCUUCCAUGAAUCAAUGAUAAAUAUUUAUUAUGCUCUUAAAAAUGUGCCUGUUAUGAUUUAUGCAUAUUAACUUAUUUUUUCAGAUUAUCAUUAUUAUUAUGGGAACAAUUAUUAUUAUUCUCAUUUUUAAGAUAAUGAGUUUUAAGAUUAAGUAAUGUGCCUACAAUUACACUGGUUAAUUAGUAUGUGAAGAGCUGAGAUUAGAGUUGAGAUUGGCCUGACUUUUGGUCAGAGAACCAUGGAGCUAGCCAUGCACUGGAGCUUGAACUUGACCCUUUCUUUCUAGCUCCACAUCUCUGAGUGUUCUUUCUGUGUUCUCUUUCUGGAUGCAUUUAGCAAAUCUUGCUCUGGUCAGAAUCAAAGUACCCCAGAGGAAGAGAGCAGUAAACCUUAGAACUCACGAGGUGAAGUAGGAAAGGAGUCUGCAAAUUAAAUCUUGGCAUUUCACCUCAUGUUGUCAUUAAGUUUUAACUCGCUAUAUAAAAAAAGUUAAUUAUACUGUGCUUUAAUCCUAUAUAAAAGGUCAACCAAGUCCUGCAUUAUAUGAGGUGUUAAGGCAAUUCUUGAAGUAGAAACACAUUUGAAUGGUUGAUCAAGGUAAAUCACGAACAUUUUAUGAAGCACUCUUGAUAAUAAGAUUCAGUUAUUUCCAAUGAGAAUGUCUAAAUCUGGUGAUUGGGCUGCCUUGCCUACUGUAAGCAAAACUAAUCAUACCAAGGACAAAUUGUGAUACUCAUCUUUGACUUUUAUAGACUUAUUUUUAGCAAUGUGUAUUUUAUGUGUGUAAGAUUGCAAAAAUGCAUACUCAUUCAAGAAAAAUUAUUGAACACAGAAGCUUAUGAGG
rnacentral:lncRNA from 1 species